GAAUUAAGGCAGCGGUGCUUUGGAAGUGAAGGAAGAGGCGGGAUUUGGGAGCUCUUUCUGAGACAGAACAUGCAGGUCUCAGACACAACAGAUGGGGGACAGAGAGAGAGAAUAAAGUUGGACGUGACCCUGGUGCUUCAGAGCGGAUGGAAUCCUUCUGUGUCAGUCUUAGAAUCGAGGCCUUCUUUCUAACCUGGAAACACUCUGCAGUUUGCACAGUGCCCGCCUCCCAGGGGAAGAUGAAGCCUUGGAAAUACGUUUACAUGGGGGAGUGUUUACAUUAAUCCUUCUUCCUCGCCUGCCUUUAGACCAGGCUCGUGGGAGGUAUCUGGUGGAAAGAACCCAACCUUUAGGAAUUGGGUUUAAGGGACCGAGCUUCUUGUUUUGUCACCAGCAGCACCGGGCAGUCAGAUGACUCUGAGUCUCAGUGUGUCCAUUUGCGAUGGAAGGAGAACCCGCCGCCCCUCCCCCCGCCGCACCAGGAUGUGACGAAGCUCCAUUUUCAUCAUCUGAUAGCAGGAACAGCAUCUGAGGACGGCGGAUGAAUUGCAAACCUGUGCAGCCCCGGCCCCUCUGACACGCAGCUCCUGCUCCAGUUACAGUCUCCGCCCAGCCCUGGCCUGCCUGCCGGGAGCCUUUGAGGCUCUAGCCCACACCGGAAGUCAGCCCCCGGGACCGAGCCUCUGACUUCCAACCAACCACCAAGGCCAAGGGACAGGAGAGGAGCCGGAGGCUGGCCCUCAGAUCUGGGGGUCCUGGGGGAGUACCAAUGUCAGUGGGCCUGGUUGUACAAAUGAGUGGUGUCUCUUCUCUCCGUCCUGGUGUCUUGUUAAGGAGGGAAUAGAGAUGAUGCUGAAUAGUGGUGGUACUUUCCCAGCUCCAGCAUCAGCUCUUUUUCUCCCAAGCAGUUAACUGUCUCACAGCAGACAGGAUCCAGGUGACACUGCUGUCCCUGCGUUCAGCCACAUUCAACCCCAACCAUUCAUCCGUCCGUCUAAUGUCUGUUCAGGGUCUUCUUAGUGCCAGGCACGGUCCAGGCACUGGCUCUUAGCAAGGAACAGAGAAAGGUCCUUGCCUUCAGGGAGCCCCGGUUAAUGGAGAACCCAAAGGAAGAGGUCCACGCGUCUAGCACAGAUCGAAGGGGCUCGGUCAGGGCGAGUCCAGAUCUGAGACCCUCAGUUCCUCUGAGAGACCUGGCGACCUGCUCACCAGGCUUCAGGCAGCCUCCUUCUCUGCCACCAUCUAGCUGGGUGACCCGGGGCCAGUUUCUCCAUGCCCAUCAGUCACCUCAGUCCACCAGAGGAGAUGGUCAUCGGGGGUCCCACCUGCCUCCCAGGAUGGCGGCGAGACUCAGGUGUGUCAAGAGUAUCUGCACACCCCUACUUCACAAUCCCAAUCCCUCUACAAAGAGGAGAGGGAAAGAACUCAACUCCGUCUACAGAGGGGAAGACAGAGGUCCUGAAAGUCACCUAGAGACUCAGCAUCGGCUUUCUCCUUCCCUCCCACCCACCUCCCAUAGGGUCAUAAUCUCUACCACCACCACCACCACCCUCAUCACCAUUUACUAGAUGGAGAAACUGAGGAUCAGAGAAAUUACUAACUUAUCCAGAAUCACACAUCUCCUUUGAGGUGGGAGAGAAGAUGUGAAGCCCAGGCUGUCACUCCCUGCAAAACUGCACGAGCCGUCAAGAGAGAGAAGCAUGAGGGAGGAAAGCUGGUGGGGUGGUCUCUCCUCCAUAACGUGCCACGGAGCCCAGAACACAGUCUGCUGCCGGUGGACGUGGCCGUGCUGCCUGGAGCGAGUGCACGCAGAGAGCCGAGAGCCGGCAGGAAAAACGCUGAAGAACCAGCUGCAGAAGCAGAAGCCUGCGGAGCUUCUUUCCAGGACCUCUUCCUCCAGGCCAGCCUGUUCCACUGGAAAAACAACCUCCCCUGCCUGGGGACUUGGGGCCGGCUGGGCCACCUUCUGGUCUGUCUUCAUUCAGAUCCCAUUUCUCCCCUCCCCGGGAGGUGGGGGAGAGAGUCACACUGGGGAGGGCGAGGGUGAGGCUGAAGUCUUCAUCUGUCCCCCUUUAAGCCAAGCAAAGAAAAAUAGCCCUUUGCCAAGAUCUUUCAUCUCAGUCAUUUACUCUCGCAGAUGUUUUCUGCAAUAUAAACAAGAAGCAAAGAAUGUUGGGGAGGAGAGGAGGGCGGGAGGAGAAGGAAGAGUGAAUCGACAGCUUUGAAAUCUGGGCCUGCGGAGGGCAGGAAACAGACCCUCGGCAGGGUCCCUACUGCCCUCAGA